UCGCCUGUUUAUCAAAAACAUCUCUUCUCGUUAGUUUUUGAAGUAUGGCCUGCCCACUGACUUUGAAUGUUGAAGGGCCGCGGUAUUUUGACCGUGCAAAGGUAGCAUAGUCAUUAGUUCUUUAAUUGUGAUCUGGUAUGAAUGGCUUGACGAGGCAUGAGCUGUCUUAAUUUUGAAUUGUUUAUUGAAUUUGGUCUUUGAGUUAAAAUUCUUAGAUGUUUUUAUGGGACGAGAAGACCCUAUAGAGUUUGACAUUUAUUAUGGUCUCUUUCUGUUUGUGAGGGUUCACUAGGGCUGUUUAAUAUGUUUUGUUGGGGUGAUGGGAGGGAUAUUAUUUAACCCCUCCUUUGUGUUGUUAUAUUUAUUUAUAUUUGCUGAACCAUUUUUUGAUGAGUAUAUGCGG
rnacentral:rRNA from 1 species